GACGAACGCUGGCGGCGUGCUUAACACAUGCAAGUCGAACGGAAAGGCCCUGCUUUUGUGGGGUGCUCGAGUGGCGAACGGGUGAGUAACACGUGAGUAACCUGCCCUUGACUUUGGGAUAACUUCAGGAAACUGGGCUAAUACCGGAUAAGAGCUCCUGCUGCAUGGUGGGGGUUGGAAAGUUUCGGCGGUUGGGGAUGGACUCGCGGCUUAUCAGCUUGUUGGUGGGGUAGUGGCUUACCAAGGCUUUGACGGGUAGCCGGCCUGAGAGGGUGACCGGCCACAUUGGGACUGAGAUACGGCCCAGACUCCUACGGGAGGCAGCAGUGGGGAAUAUUGCACAAUGGGCGGAAGCCUGAUGCAGCAACGCCGCGUGCGGGAUGACGGCCUUCGGGUUGUAAACCGCUUUCGCCUGUGACGAAGCGUGAGUGACGGUAAUGGGUAAAGAAGCACCGGCUAACUACGUG
rnacentral:rRNA from 1 species